rnacentral:rRNA from 1 species
UACGAAGGUGGCAAGCGUUGUUCGGAUUUACUGGGCGUAAAGGGAGCGUAGGCGGUUGGGUAAGCCCUCCGUGAAAUCUCCGGGCCUAACCCGGAAAGUGCGGAGGGGACUGCUCGGCUAGAGGAUGGGAGAGGAGCGCGGAAUUCCCGGUGUAGCGGUGAAAUGCGUAGAGAUCGGGAGGAAGGCCGGUGGCGAAGGCGGCGCUCUGGAACAUUUCUGACGCUGAGGCUCGAAAGCGUGGGGAGCAAACAGG